CCUAGAGCCGCCAGAGCACGGGAGAAACCAUCUUCGGAGAAGGAGGGGGGGGCGCGGCUUCCACUGCCUCUCGGGCGGGUGCGGGAGGGGCGCUCGCGGUGCCACCGGCUCCAGCCAGGCUGGUUUGCUCUGCAGAGUGGCGUGGCGAGGGUGUCGGCUAACUCCCCCUUUCCCUACAGUUCCCAUCAACCUCGCAAAAACCCCCAGUUUAAGUAAUCCUUAUGGUUGUUAUGCGCCAACUCUGGUUGCUACGCAAACACCGCUAAACUAACCCUUCAACAAACUAGUUGCCCCGAACUCUUCUGAGGGGGAAAUUGUGGAGCAGCCCUCUGCUUAGAGAUGAUAACCACCACCAGUGGUUCCGGUUUCUCAGGCACACGGCCAAUCGCAGGACAUUGCCAGCUUUGGAGCCGAGUUUCCCGAACAUAUUGGAGCUGUUCUCCAUGCUGCUUCUUGCCAUCCCCAUGACUAUUUUUUCUACAAACCUAUUGGUUGGUGCCACUCACACCCAGGAUGGGGCUUCUGUCUUCCUGAAUCCAGUCAGCACACCCAGAACUGUGUUUAUCGAAUGGAUUUAUCCAGGACUUUUGCUGACACAUGUAUGCUCAGAAAAUCACUGGUGGUCUGGGUGUGGUGGAGCAUUCGUGUCCUAGCACUCAGGAGGCUGAAGCAGGGAGGUCACAAAUUCCAGACCAUCUCGGACUACAUAGUGAGACCCUGCCUCAGAACAUCAAAACCAGAAAAGGAAAGAAGAAAUUUCUAGCUAUUCAGCCCUCAUCUUAGGUGGUGGCUCACUAUUGCAAUUUGUUUAAAAAAUUGCAUAGAAAAUGAAGAAAAAGAAAGACAGGAAAAGAAAAAAGAGAAGGAAAGAAAAUAGAGUUAAUGGGAUAAGCUACAUCCCAGCUGCUUCAAUUGGUCUUGAGAUUAUAAUUUAUCAUCAUGCACUAUUCUCAGUUCUCAACUUUUGGGCAG
ensembl:lncRNA